UUUUUUCGGAUUGGGACUUAAUUAGGAUUAGGUUUCAUUUUUUCUCGGCACACAAAGAUGAAGGAAAAAAAGGAAGACUGAGGCUGGGUUAUAUGCACCUGGGCGUCUUACCAGUGAUACCUACUACAGAUGGAGGUGAGGGUGAAAGGGACGGCGACAUCUACAGCAGAGGGAGGUGAAGUCGACAACGGGGUUUUUGGGGUUCUUGGCACCUAGAACAUUUUCCCUUGUUUAGCUUCUCAUCUGCUCUGUUUUUUUUUUGGUUUUUUAGGUGGCAGUGAUGCACAGUUGGGCGGGAUGGAUGGAUGCAGUGGUUAUAGGUACCUAAUCCAAUAGAAAUAAGGUGAAGGCUAGACUUUAUAUAUGCCCCAAAGGAUUGGUAAUGCUUGCUGCUUCAAAGAAGUUAAAGUCCUUUAAUAUUCUGAAACUCAUCCUUGAAAAUAGAUUUCUAAAUUGGCUGUGUUAUUCUCUCGGUUUACUUCUAUCCUAAAUGAUUCUAGUGAACAAGUCAUCUUAAAGAAAUGAACAUGAAAUGAUGGGUUGGUGCUAGGUGAAAGAGGCUAGCAUAGAUGGAUUUGAUGGGAAGAAAUGGUUCAAACAUCUUGUAAGCCUUAUCUUUUUUGCUAUAUUUAUAAUGCAUAUCGUAAACAUCAAGAUUCUAAGAUUAUUUGCAUUUGUUCUUGGGACCUUUUCCUCCUAAUAUUUCCUUUGUUCUUGUAGACUAUUUCAAAAGAUGAUGAAUUCGUUGGUGCUUGAAAUAAAUUGUUAUCUAAUUUAUAGUUUUUUUUCUCCAUUUCCUUAUGUAUAGUGGAUGUUGGAGACUUUGUAAAGGGUUAUUGUAAACUUAUGGAAUUGACUCUUCAUG